rnacentral:pre_miRNA from 10 species
AAUUUUGAAUUUACUGGGUGGGUGUAAAUACAAAAUGUUGUCAUGUUGUAAAUUUUGUAUUUACACCCACCCAGUAAAUUCAAAA